AUUGAACGCUGGCGGCAUGCUUUACACAUGCAAGUCGAACGGUAACAGGGUGCUUGCACCGCUGACGAGUGGCGAACGGGUGAGUAAUGCGUCGGAACGUGCCGAGUAGUGGGGGAUAACGCAGCGAAAGUUGUGCUAAUACCGCAUACGUACUGAGGUAGAAAGUGGGGGACCUUCGGGCCUCACGCUAUUCGAGCGGCCGACGUCUGAUUAGCUAGUAGGUGAGGUAAAGGCUCACCUAGGCGACGAUCAGUAGCGGGUCUGAGAGGAUGAUCCGCCAGACUGGGACUGAGACACGGCCAAGACGCCUACGGGAGGGAGCAGUGGGGAAUUUUUGACAAUGGGCGAAAGCCUGAUCCAGCAAUGCCGCGUGCAGAAUGAAGGCCUUCGGGUUGUAAACUGCUUUUGUACGGAACGAAAAGCCCCGGGUUUAUACCCUGGGGUCAUGACGGUACCGUAAGAAUAAGCACCGGCUAACUACGUGCCAGCCGCCGCGGUAAAAC
rnacentral:rRNA from 1 species